UACGGGGGGGGUAAGCGUUGUUCGGAAUUACUGGGCGUAAAGGGCUCGUAGGCGGCCAACUAAGUCAUACGUGAAAUCCCUCAGCUUAACUGGGGAACUGCGUGUGAUACUGGAUGGCUUGGAUUUGGGAGAGGGACGCGGAAUUCCAGGUGUAGCGGUGAAAUGCGUAGAUAUCUGGAGGAACACCGGUGGCGAAGGCGGCAUCCUGGACCAAUAUUGACGCUGAGGAGCGAAAGCUAGGGGAGCAAACGGG
rnacentral:rRNA from 1 species